GACGAACCGUGCGAACGUUGUUCGGAAUCACUGGGCUUAAAGGGCGCGUAGGCGGGUCACCAAGUCCGGGGUGAAAUCUUUCGGCUUAACCGGAAAACAGCCUUGGAUACUGGUGACCUCGAGGGAGGUAGGGGUCUGCGGAACUUCUGGUGGAGCGGUGAAAUGCGUUGAUAUCAGAAGGAACGCCGGUGGCGAAAGCGGCGGACUGGACCUUCACUGACGCUGAGGCGCGAAAGCGUGGGGAGCAAACAGG
rnacentral:rRNA from 1 species